rnacentral:rRNA from 1 species
ACAUAUUUUAGUGCUAGGUUCAAUUUGGUUAAGGACCUAAUUUACUUUUAAGUCUAAAAUACGAUUAUUUUAUUCAAUUGUAAAAAAUUAUUAUAAUAAAAUUCACCCAUGGCAGACUUUCGUAUUAACAGCACCUUGAUCUAAUUCUUUUUAUUAAAAGUAAAGAUAAUUUUUUGUUAAAAAUUUCUUAAAACGACGAUAUACAAAUUUAAAAUAACGAAAGAAAAGCUUUCUCGUGGGGUAUCGAUUACAGCACAGGUUUCCCUAAGAAGAUAAAAUACCGUCAAAUUUUUUAGGUUUCA